GAUACGAUGGCCGAGCGGUCUAAGGCGCUGGUUUUAGGCACCAGUCUUCGGGCGUGGGUUCGAAUCCCACUCGCGCAUUCU
rnacentral:tRNA from 1 species